UACGUAGGCAGCGAGCGUUGUUCGGAAUUACUGGGCGUAAAGAGUGUGUAGGCGGUGCUCUAAGUUCGGUGUGAAAUCUCCUGGCUCAACUGGGAGGGUGCGCCGGAAACUGAAUGACUAGAGUGCGGGAGAGGAAAGUGGAAUUCCUGGUGUAGCGGUGAAAUGCGUAGAUAUCAGGAGGAACACCGGUGGUGUAGACGGCUUUCUGGACCGUAACUGACGCUGAGACACGAAAGCGUGGGUAGCAAACAGG
rnacentral:rRNA from 1 species